CCCCCCCUCGAGGUCGUGGGGAAUAUUGCACAAUGGGGGAAACCCUGAUGCAGCGACGCCGCGUGGAGGAAGAAGGUCUUCGGAUUGUAAACUCCUGUUGUUGGGGAAGAUAAUGACGGUACCCAACAAGGAAGUGACGGCUAACUACGUGCCAGCAGCCGCGGUAAAACGUAGGUCACAAGCGUUGUCCGGAAUUACUGGGUGUAAAGGGAGCGCAGGCGGGAAGACAAGUUGGAAGUGAAAUCUAUGGGCUCAACCCAUAAACUGCUUUCAAAACUGUUUUUCUUGAGUAGUGCAGAGGUAGGCGGAAUUCCCGGUGUAGCGGUGGAAUGCGUAGAUAUCGGGAGGAACACCAGUGGCGAAGGCGGCCUACUGGGCACCAACUGACGCUGAGGCUCGAAAGUGUGGGUAGCAAACAGGAUUAGAUACCCUGGUAGUCCACACCGUAAACGAUGAUUACUAGGUGUUGGAGGAUUGACCCCUUCAGUGCCGCAGUUAACACAAUAAGUAAUCCACCUGGGGAGUACGACCGCAAGGUUGAAACUCAAAGGAAUUGACGGGGGCCCGCACAAGCAGUGGAGUAUGUGGUUUAAUUCGAAGCAACGCGAAGAACCUUACCAGGUCUUGACAUCCAACUAACGAAGUAGAGAUACAUUAGGUGCCCUUCGGGGAAAGUUGAGACAGGUGGUGCAUGGUUGUCGUCAGCUCGUGUCGUGAGAUGUUGGGUUAAGUCCCGCAACGAGCGCAACCCUUAUGGUCAGUUACUACGCAAGAGGACUCUGGCCAGACUGCCGUUGACAAAACGGAGGAAGGUGUGUCUGCGGAUUAUAUUAUGGCCU
rnacentral:rRNA from 1 species